rnacentral:tRNA from 1 species
CCUCCUUAAACGAUUGUGAAAUCACCCUUCAAGUGUUCACACAUCUGUCUUUAUCUGUGCGGUUGAUGCGAUGGCAGUCAUUGGGCUGUCGAGAGUGUGCCACGAAGCUCUGAGUCAACGGUUACGGGCCGCGGGCGGCGGAACUGGCAAGGCGAUGCGUGUGUCCGAGUCUGGUAGCAGGCCAUUAAACAGGCAGCGCGGCAAGUGAGUCACGUUAGGCCUGUAGCUCAGUUGGUUAGAGCGCACCCCUGCAUAAGGGUGAGGUCGGCAGUUCAAGUCUGCCCAGGCCUACCAAGUUUUCUGGGGCUAUAGCUCAGCUGGGAGAGCGCCUGCUUUGCACGCAGGAGGUCUGCGGUUCGAUCCCGCAUAGCUCCACCACUUUCACUCGUAUCGAAUUCAGACAAGGGCGCAUACGGUGUGCCCUUGUCUGGUUUCGACAACCAGAAUGCA